GACGAACGCUGGCGGCGUGCUUAACACAUGCAAGUCGAACGGUGAAGGGACCGGUUUUUGCUGGUUCUGGAUGAGUGGCGAACGGGUGAGUAACACGUGAGUAACCUGCCCCCUUCUUCUGGAUAACCGCAUGAAAGUGUGGCUAAUACGGGAUAUUCUGCGCCUGCUGCAUGGUGGGUGUGGGAAAGAUAUUGUUUCGGUGGGGGAUGGGCUCGCGGCCUAUCAGCUUGUUGGUGGGGUGAUGGCCUACCAAGGCGGUGACGGGUGGCCGGCCUGAGAGGGUGGACGGUCACACUGGGACUGAGACACGGCCCAGACUCCUACGGGAGGCAGCAGUGGGGAAUAUUGCACAAUGGGCGCAAGCCUGAUGCAGCGACGCCGCGUGAGGGAUGGAGGCCUUCGGGUUGUAAACCUCUUUCGCCAGUGAAGCAGGCCUGUCCCUUUUGUGGGUGGGUUGACGGUAGCUGGAUAAGAAGCGCCGGCUAACUACGUG
rnacentral:rRNA from 1 species